GUUUGUUCCCCGAUUUUCGGAAAAUACAGAAAAACCGCAAGAGCUGCAGCGCCAGAGGUGUAAAAGUAGUAGGUGGGAAUGCCGAGUUCCUUCGCCAUUGGCAGCGCAGAGGAGCAGAAGAUGUCGAUGAUAAAAGCGCGAAUGGCUGAAGAUUUAGAGAUCUCUUGGAGGGCAAGACGGACAUGUGGAUCAUUCCGGCGAAUGAAAUCGAACAAUAUGGCCUCGAAGCUGAUGGGAAUUAAUGUAAUUUUAUUUUCAACGCGAGGAAAUUGGUGGAAGGAGAUGGAAGGAUAGGCUCGGGAGAUGCGCUGGAUGUAGGCGGGGAUGCUUGGAGUGUCAACCAAACUGCCACAAGUGUAGAGAAUGGUAAUGGAGAAUUUUCUGGGGUAGCGAUUGAGAAUGAGCUUGCCUAGCUCAACCAUGGAGAUUAUGUGUCCCAUUCCUGGAGCUGCGUAGAGGACUAUUGUGUCUUCUUCCAUGGCUUUGGUUGGUUUGUGUUUCUGGUUUUCCCUUUUCAUUGCUCAAAGCUUUUGAGGGAGAAGACGUUUUGAAAUACUCUUCACUAAAAGUAGAUGGAAAUUCAAGUCUUAGGUGAAGCACGAGGCAAGGCACAGGUUGUACGCCAUCAUUUAUCAUGAUCAAAAGAAAAAGGGAAAUGGUUUUUUAAUGGAAUAACUAGGUUCUCACAUGCAUGAACAAGAGUCUUUGAUGUGCAUGUAUUACAUUUUCCACACUCAAACCAAGUUGUCAAAUCGAAAUGGAUAGAUUCCACAUGGUAGAAUAAAACCAUGAAAAUGACUAGAAAUAUCAUAAGUUUUCUAUGGGCCGAGAAAUAUCAUAAGUUUUCUCUCAAGUUUUCUAUGGGCUGCUUUUAAUGUUAAGAGUGGCAAGCUUCUGUAUGUUCAUGGGAUAAACCUGGCUAAGGUCCCCAUUGAAAGCUUUCCUCCCAAUUAUGAUGUUGGCUGCUGCUGUUGGGUGGAAAGCAUCCCAGAAUAUGUACUGGUCUCGAUUCGGGCAUGGUGUUUGGAGUGGAAGACAUGUAAUUUGGCCUCUGUUGCGCCCAAUGCCACAGCAUCCACGAUUUGCAACAGUGAAUCCUAGAAAUAAAAUUGCAAACGGGUUGAGACAUGGUCAACAAAGACAAAAUCUAAAGUUCUAUUUCAGUGAAGAAUGACUUGAAGUUAAAUAGUAGCCAGGCAUUUACCAUAAGAUCUGGCAUUGUUGACGAUGUCUUCGAAUAUUCGAGCAAUGUCAAUGUAAAUGAACUUUGCGCCUGGCAAGUUGGUGUUAAGUUUGUUGAUCAUUGUCUUCACAUUUGCAUUAAACGGUAGAACAAGGCGAUUCACUUCCUCAUUGCACCUUCCACUUGGACUCUGGGCCAAGAUACUUGGAAUGCAGCCCAUUCUCCCUAAUCCAGCAACAACAAACUUUCGAGCACCAAGAUUAUAGAGUCUCUGUAACAUGUCACAUACAGUAGGAUGUUAACUUAGGUAACUUACAGAGUCUAUCACAUGUGAUCAAGUCAUGGAAAAUGCGCGCCUACAGGUGAGCCCAUGAAUAGAAGUUCUUACAGUGAGUUGCUGGGUGUAUUGUUGAGUCAAAAGAUCAGCAAAUUGUGGAGCAUUGUACUGAGUUCUUGUGGGAUAGUUGGGCAUAAGAUAAUUGUUUAGGUAGUCAUUGCUGCCCAUUCCAACAAAGAAGAUGCAGUCUGCAAUUGCCCCGGCCACGUCAUCUGCCCCGAGAUUGUCUGUAAUCUGAUCAAGGGUACUCUGGAAGUUCCUUAUUUGUUCACCAAAAGGUAUUCUUCCCACCUGACACCAAAACAAUUGUUACCAAACAGUGGAACAUUGAAACACAUGCUUCUGGUUAAUUGUAGGCUGUAUAGUUUAGAUAUGUUGGAACAUGGCAAAAGAUUGAACUUGUGUUAUGUAAAGCACUAAGGCUUCUGCUAAUCCAUUUAAAAUCAAAUUCCUCAGUUAAAAAUUUCAGGAAAAAUAAAAUAAAAUAAAUUUUGUGGAUGAAGUAGUUAAUUAUAAUUACAAAGUUUCUGCCAGUGAUAUCAAGGAUUCCAGCUGCUGCAGAUGCAUAAUUGACUCCAUGAAGCACUUGGUCUCCAGAAGCUUCAGAAAAAGGAGGAAUCAAGGGAAGUCCUAGCAGUUCAGCUGCAUAUUGAAUAUUAUAUUUAUGUUAAAAUAAUAUACAUCAAAAUCACUUGGAAAACCCAAGAGAAACAAAUUUCUUUUUAAAAAAAUUAUAUUUUUUAUAAAUAAAAAAACACCAAUGUUGAAAUAUUGCCAUGAUUUAUAUCCAAAUUGGGAAUGAAAAGGCCCCCUUUAUAUGUAAAAAUGGUAGGACAGGUGGGUCCAUGCCAUAGCAGAGAGACAAAUUCUAUCUUUCUCGUACAGAGCAUACCAACAUUACCAAAGGGUAACCCAUAAUAUAUCUACAAAUUAAGGAUGGCUUUCAGAUCACUUAAUUUAUGUUUAAUUAAAGACCCAAUUUUAAAAAAUAAAGAACCAAUUUACCAACCCAAGAUGUUUCUUGCUCCCACACAUAAAAAGAUUAAAAUAUAUACAUAAACUUUGUGACUUAAAUUCAAUCAUAAUACACUGAAAUACUGAUCUCACAGCAAAACAUAUUACACUACAAAAUCAAAGAAGAGGAUCUAGUAGAGAGAGAGAGAGAGAGAGAGAGAGAGAGAGAGAGAGAGAGAGAGAGAGAGACCUAUUUCAUCAACCAUGGUGUAACCAUUGGAAAAACGACCGGUAGGGCCACCAUUGAAAUCAAUGCCAUAGGGGAAAUAGUUAGCCUUGGCAAAUGAUGGGAUGUUGUUGUUGUUGCCAUUGUCAAUCAAAGAGUCUCCAAACACAAACAUGGCAGGCACCAUUUCUGCGCUCCUCCCACCACCACCCACUUGACCUUGUGGUGCUGCUGCUGCUGCAGCCGCUGAUGAAAAGUUCACAUCUUGGCCCCAAACCGCCCCACCCAGCACCAUCAACCAGAAAACCACCAAAGAAAAAACCCUAAUUGGGGCCUUGGCCAUGAAUGAAUUAAUGUGUUUUGCUUGUUUUGAGAUGAUGAAUAUGUGGGAGAAAGUGAGAGAGCCACCUGUGUUGAUAAUGAAUGAGGUUUUUGAGUAUUGGCAAGAGCAUGCAAGGGAUGAUUUAAUAGGCGAGGCAAGGCGGUGGUUGUGAAUGGAAUAAAUGUUUUCACCUGUUAUCUUACGUGCAGGAAUUGAAGUAAAGAGUCCAUUUUUGUUCAAGGAUAAAUAAGAGUUUACUUUCCCAGCAUUGUUCUGCAUGCAGCUUCAAAUUCCCUCGCUAUUUUAUUUUAUUUUUUCCGUCUUUGGUUACAAACGGGGCCCGAGGCCGAAGCAAAACCAAUAGGCACAAGAGACUAAAGUUCAAGGUAGUUUGCUUUUAUCACAUGGUAAUAGUUAUUACGAUGCUUCUUUCAAAAAAAUAAUAAUAAUAAAUAAAUAAAUAUAUAUAUAUAUAUAGUUAGUAAUUAUGAUGCUGCGAAUGGGGUGCCCAGUGAAAAAGGUUAUCAACUUGCACAAGACCUUAAGUUCAAAUUUUUAUGGCAUCUUAGUUAUAUGUGUGUGAGAAAUCCCCUCUCCUUAGUUAUAUGUGUGUGAGAAAUAAUUAUUACAAUACUAUCUCUAGUCUUUUGGUAAGAGCAUUAGCAAUGCAUUCCCUAACCCACAUCAGACAAAAAUUCAAAUUAAUUUGUUUUUUUUUUGUUGAUAUUUUAUUUAUUUUUUGCCAAAGGGGAGGGGAACACAUAGUUACAAUAAGUUUUUGAAGUCAUAACCACUUGGGAACGCACCAAAGAUCUGGAUCGAUCCAACUAACGACUCAUUAGUCAAAGUAAUUUGCUUUUACCAAUUAUUCCGAUGCUCUCUCUAGUUUUUUAUAGUUUGGUAAACGACGUAAGUUCAAGGCAGGCAGAGUUAGGUUCAAACCACCACUCUUGGAACCCAAUAUGUAAAGACACCUAGACCUAGCUGCCAUUUUAGAGUUUUAGGAACUUGAAUGAAGUUAUGGCAAAGACACCUAGACCUAGCUGCCAUUUUAGAGUUUUAGGAACUUCAAUGAAGUUAUGGGAAAAAGGACUGGUUAGCAAAUACACUUCAUUUGCUAUGACCUAGCUCACAGCAAAGUAUUAAAAGAUUUCCAAAUAUAGUAGCAUGCUUAAUGUUGGUGGAGCCAACAUGCCCUUUUAUUAAUGUUCUUGUUUUGGACUUAAACCUUUCAAUACAUUUCUAUCGUUUGGCCCAAAGAAAAAAAAAAAAAAAACCACCAAAAUAAGAGAGAAGAAAAAGGUAAAAUCUACGAGCUACUUCCAACAACUAUGAUAAAUGAAGGCAAUACAUUUAAAUUAUAAAAGUUUAAUUAUUGAAGGAAUUAUAAAGUUUUGAACCUGGUUCUACUACUAUAAUAUUCAUUUGCAUAAUUUGUUAAAGAUAAAAUAAAUUCAAAGACUUCUUUUUCUCAACUUUGAGCUAUUUCAAUUUCAACAUAUUUUUUCUUAUAAUUUUUUUCUUUAAUAAAAUAGAAUGAUAACCACUAUAUAUGACACUCAGCUUUACCAGAUAAAAGCAUAGUGUUUACAGACUGAGAAUACAUAAAUGUGAUGUGUUACAUUUUCCACACUCAAACAAAUUAAGAAUAUAUAAAGUAAAAUCAAAACGAAUGGAGCCAAAUGGUAAAGUAGAUAGGAAGCACCCAACUUUAAUUGCUAGAAAUAUAUGGAAGGUUCAAUAAUUUCUAAUGGUUGCUUUUUUUUUUUCUUUCGAAAAUAAGCGAUAGUAUAUUAUUGAUGAACAAACAAAAGUACAAAGUAACUAUGUGCCGAAUAUGGGUAAAUAUUUUUCAGUGACCAAAUAGUUGGGUAAAGGGCAAAGACAUUUACUUAAAUGCUGAAAAUGAAAAUAAAGUAAUUUGUAUACUUAGAGUGCACCACCAUCAGCUAAACAAAUGGGCCAUUUGAAGCACCUAUAAUGGUUUUUCUGGCGAAGGAAGGUGCAACUGCACCUCCUUACGCAUUUAGUGAAAAAAUUUUAAACACAAUAAGAUGGACAAGAAGAUGCACCCUUGGUAUUUUCCUUUAUUUUUUUAUUCACCAAGUGCAAAGUGCAAAUACAUAACUUAUGCAAUGCUAUUAACAAAGUUAACGAAGUUUCUAGUGGAUGAACCAGACUCACUCCAAGCCGCCAAAGCUAUCUCUCCCAUUUUCCUGCUCCUUUCUCUAAGCUCUUCCCCUUUUUCCGACUCCAUCAACUCCCUAACGCUUCUCUCCAAUUCAUCCCCCAACACAAACCAUCUUCCUCUCUCUGCUUCACAGCAAUUGCCAUUUCCAUGUCCUUCACCAAAAUACUUUUAUUCAAAUGCUGCUUUGCAUAGAGUGACCAUGCCACCAUCGGCACGCCGGCAAUCACCGCUUCAAGCACCGAGUUCCACCUACAAUGCCUCACGAACCUGCCCACGGAUUCCUUCUUCAACACCGCCACUUGCGGCGCCCAUGACUUCACCACCAAGCCUUCAUCUUAGGUCCUCUCCAAGAACCCUUAUGGCCACAAACCUUCCAACUCAAAGUCAUGUACUCCUUGGACCUGCUUGGUUUUCUCAUCAAGGGGAAGCUUCUUCAUCACCCACAAAAACCUCUGUCCACUCUUUUCCAACCCAUCUGUUAUCUCUUUCAAUUGAGCCCCUGAGAAUGAUCCUCUGCUUCCAAAACAGAGAAACACCACACUUCUACUUGGCUGCUGAUCAAGCCAUGACAAACAAUCUUCUGCAUCUGCAGAAUCCCCAAAUUCUUUUUCUUCAGAAAUCAAUAGCCCGAUGUAGUAGACAUGAGGAGUGGGAGCAUUAGGAACACAAAGACCUCCAACAAUGGCUUUGAGGACUGCAGGAGGCUCGAGCUCUUCAAACGUGUUGGCUAUGAUCCCAUUAGAUUUGGGAAGGUGGGUGCAGAAGUAGACCAUGUCCCAAUAAGCAGGGUCAUCUCGGUCAAGCAUUGGCUCAGGCAUGUGAGGGGCAUUCAGGGGGGACUUCAACCCGGGAAACUCUAAAACAGUCUCGGUCAAAUCCUUGAAGCUAUUGGUGGUUUGUUCCCCGAUUUUCGGAAAGUACAGAAAAACCGCAAAAGCUGCAGCUCCAGAGGUGUAAAAGUCGUAGGUGGGAAUGCCGAGUUCCUUCACCAUUGGCAGCGCAGAGGAGCAGAAGAUGUCGAUGAUAAAAGCACGAAUGGCUGAAGAUUUAGAGAUCUCUUGGAGGGCAAGGCAGACAUAAGGAUCAUUCCGGCGAAUGAAAUCAGACGCUAUGACCACGACACUGAUGGGAAUUAAUGUAAUUUUAUUUUCAACGCGAGGAAAUUGGUGGAAGGAGAUGGAAGGAUAGGCUCGGGAGAUGCGCUGGAUGUAGGCGGGGAUGCUUGAAAUUGAUUGUCACGUUGUAAGAGACAAACUGCAAGCUGGUGUAAUUUCUCCUUCCUAGAAGAUGAGCUGGCAGAUAUAUUUACGCAGGCUUUGGAAGGAGAUGCCUUCAAUUACUUAAGUGGCGAGUUGGAACUUCACAACAUUCAAUCUCCAAUUGGAGGGAGAGUGUUGGAAAUCAAAUCUUAUAAUUGAAGAAUUAUAAAUAUUGUAAUUGUCUUUCUUGUAUUAGACCUCCAAAAUUUAUGGGUCAAACCUGGAUUGUAACCUUAAUUAGGAAUUAUGCUAGAAUAGGAGAUUGUAAACCUAGUAUAUAAAGGAUAGUUUUAUGUACAACAAGAUAUCAAUAACACAACAUAUUAUUCCAUCUCCUUUAUUCUUUACAAACCUUUAACUCCUUAUAUGAAUAAGUCAUUUCUUCUUAAAGUUAUGUCAAAAUUUCACAUUUUAUUGAAUUAUUUUUUUAUAUUAAGGGAUUCGAACUCGAGUGCAAAGUGAAAAGCACAUUCGCUCAAAUCAACUUAACUAAGCUCAUAUCUGCGUGAAUUUAGUUAUUCUAAAUAGUGAAAAAACAUAAAAUGGGACGAUACAUCAUAUUGCGUACACACAACUCUCACAAUACCACUCAUGAAAAAUAUUGAUAAUUGAUUGUGUAAUUCAAUAAAGGGACAACAAAACUACCUUAACUUUCAAAAGAUCAGAAAAUUGUGGGGCAUUGAACUGAGUUCUUUUGGGAUAGUUGGGCCUAAUAUAAUUGUUUAGGUAGUCAUUGUUGCCCAUUCCAACAAAGAAGAUGCAGUUAAUCGCCUGGGCCACGUCAUCUGCCCCGAGAUUGUCUGUAAUCUGAUCAAGGGUACUCUGGAAGUUGCUUAUUUGUUCACCAAAAGGUAUUCUUCCCACCUGACACCAAAACAAUUGUUACCAAACAGUGGAAUAUUGAAACACAUGCUUGUGGUUGCAGGCUGUAUAGUUUAGAUAUCUUGGAACAUGGCAAAAGAUUGAACUUGUGUUAUGUAAGGCACUUAGGCUCCUGCUCUAAUCCAUUUAAAUUCAAAUUCCUCAACUAAAAAUAUCAGGAAAAAUAAAAUAAAAUAAAUUUUGUGGAUGAAGUGGUUAAUUAAUUACAAAGUUUGUGCCAGUGAUAUCAAGGAUUCCAGCUGCAGCAGAUGCAUAAUUGACUCCAUGAAGCACUUGGUCUCCAGAAGCUUCAGAAAAAGGAGGAAUCAAGGGAAGUCCUAGCAGUUCAGCUUCAUAUUUAUGUUAAAAUAAUGUACAUCAAAAUAUCUUGGAACACCCAAGAGAAACAAAUUUCUUUUUAAAAAAAAAAUUAUAUAUUUUAAAAAUACAAAAACACCAAUGUUGAAAUAUUGCCUUGAUUUAUAUCCAAAUUGGGAAUGAAAAGGCCCACCUUUAUAUGUAAAAAUGGUGGGCCAUAGCAGAGAGACAAAUUCCAUCUUUCUCAUACAGACUACAGCACAUACCAACAUUACCAAAGGGUAAUCAAUAAUAUAUCUACAAAUUAAGGAUGGCUUUCAAAUCACUUAAUUUAUGUUUAAUUAAAGACCCGAUUUUAAAAAAUAAAUAAUAAAUAUUGUUUUACCAACCCAAGAUGUUUCUUGCUCCCACACAUAAAAAGAUUAAAGGGUUAACUGGUGAUUUGCCCACUGAAUUUGUAUUUAACUUUCAAUUAACUCCCUAUUCUUUUUUUAAGAAAAUUAAGGAUAUGAACCUUCUUUUUUCCUCCAAUUUCUCCCAUACCAUCUAAUCCUCAACAUUUCAUCCAAUUUUCAAUUAAAUCAUUUUUAGAAAAAUAGUUUUUUGGAAAAAAAUUGAAGAAAAAGAGGAAAAUUGACCAAAAAAGAAGAAGAAUAAAAAGACACUAAACUGCUUUUGAAUCUUGAUCUGCAAUUCUUAACAUUGUUCUUCCCGCAUUUUCUGACAUUUCUUUCUUUCUAAAUAAAAAAAUCCAUAUUUUUGUUGUUGAUAAUUUCAGCCCAGUAAGCAGAUAGAGGAUGCCAAGCUUUGCAAGCGAUUUCCAAACAACAUUGCAAGAAUUCCAGAAAGUUCAGCAGCUCGCCUCUGAGCGCGUGUCUCUCUGAUGGGGAUCGGGAUCCAGACAUAGGUCACCAACCACAUAUACGAGCACCGAAAUCUAGGGCUAGUACAAACUCACAUAUAUCGUAGUAAAUCCAUGCCACAAAUAAACUAUUUUAUUAAUAAUCAACAUCCACCCCCUACAACUAUUAUAUUAGCUUUAUUUAUAGGCUUUACAAGACUUGGGCACCAAGGCUACUUGGUCCAAAAGUAAACUAAUUAAUUUAUAAAAUCACACAUAAAUAAUAAAAGAUAUCCUAAAACUACCUAAAUAAGAAAAUAACAGUAUAUCAUGAAAUAACUAAUUAAAUGCUAAUAUCUAUCUUGAUCCACUCCUAUGCUCCUGCAUCUGACUCCCAUGGUUGGAAAGAAUUCGUCCUCGAAUUCAAGCCUUUGAUUGAGGAAAAUCCAAAUAGAAUCUUCAAUUGCUUCAUAUUAAUUUUGGAUCUUUUAGCAUCCAAUUGAAACCUUCCUUUCCAAAUAAAAAGAUAUUUGGAAUAUUUCAUUCUUCUUGGCUUCUUCUUACUCCCUCUAACAAUGCAAAUGUUUCUCUCUAGAAUCUUCAACUGAUUGAAAAAAUCAACCAGAGUUUUGGCAACCUUCCAAGUGAAAAUAUGAAUGCCCAUAAAAUAAAUAAUAUAUUCGAAAGUUUUCUCAAUUCUCAUCUCUUCACUGUUCUUGUCAAUAAAUUGCUUAUCAAAAUUGCUUUGAACACCCAAACAAUUUUCACUGCAAUUUUCACAGUUGCAAGGAUCAAAUAUUGGAGGUAAAUCCAAAUUUAAUAACUUUGAUGAAUAACAAGAUGCACCAAAAUUACCAAAUUCAUUUAUAUCUUCAAAGACACAAUAAGAAUAACCGUGCCCCUCUUCACUUGACUCACACACACAUCCCUCCCCGUCAAAACUCUUACCUAUCUGGGUUCAAGCUUCAAUGCGAGCAAUGCGUUCUGUAAGUUGCCGUAGCAUCCUCCUAAGUUCCUCCAUGUCAUUGUAGUUGUUAACACGACCCUCCAUCCAAAAACCUCCCCAAUAAAGCAGAUCUUGAGCCAUAGCUCUGAUACCAAUUGAUGGGGAUCGGGAUCCAGACAUAGGUCACCAACCACAUACACGAGCACCGAAAUCUAGGGCUAGUGCAAACUCACAUAUAUCGUAGCAAAUCCAUGCCACAAAUAGAUUAUUUUAUUAAUCAUCAACAUCCACCCCCUACGACUAUUACAUUAGCCUUAUUUAUAAGCUUUACAAGACUUGGGCACCAAGGCUACUUGGUCCAAAAGUAAACUAAUUAAUUUAUAAAAUCACACAUAAAUAAUAAAAGAUAUCCUAAAACUACCUAAAUAAAAAAAUAACAAUAUAUCAUGAAAUAACUAAUUAAAUGCUAAUAUCUAUCUUGAUCUACUCCUAUGCUCCUGCAUCUCUCUCUCACACACACACAAAACACUCUGAGAAUCUGAAAUUGUGAAGAGUAUGUUGGCAACGUUCAGGACAAUUCCCUAGAUCGAAUGAGACUGCUCACAUGUCUCCCUUUUCAAUUCAUCAAUAUUUGGUGAAAACUUAAACUUGGAGCAGCUCACCAAAUAAUUUGUUGAACACCAUUCGACCAUACUUCCUAGAGUAAGGAUCGGCUGUAUAUAUGUAUAUAAUAGGGCUUGUAAUCCUUUGCCAACACACCACCGGCACUGCUAGGAUUCCCAACUCCACUACUAGGAUUCAACCCCCUUCCCCAGCUCUAUCUCCUCCAUGAACCCCAUCAACCCUAAAUCCCCCCCGCUUCCUCCCAUCCCCACGCGAGAUCCACCCCCAGCCCUUGCCCCCAAGACCCAGACCCAUCCCAUUCCCCAGCCCCACGUGAGCAUGCACAGAGAGAGAGAGAGAGAUAAUUGCAAUUUUCUGUUUUUUAUUUUAUUUUUAAUUUUUAAUGUACAAAAUGACUAUUUUGCUCUCAUUUUUAACGGCAAAUUAGAUGAAAUGUUGUGGAUUUAAACGGAGAGGGGAAAUUAGUGGGAAAAAAAAAAGUUUAAGUCCUUAAUUUUCUAUUAAAAAAAAAGUAUAGGGGUCAAUUGAAACUAAAGUACAAAUUCAAGGGGCAAAACAUCAGUAUACUCAAAGAUUAAAAUAUAUAUAUAUAUAUAUAUAUAUAUAAACUUUUGUGACUUAAAUUCAAUCAUAAUAUACUGAAAUACUGAUCUCACAGCAAAACAUAUUACACUGAAAGCAUCAACAAAUAUUAACAUGUAUGCUAAUUACACUACAAAAUCAAAGAAGAGGACCUAGUGGAGAGACCUAUUUGUAACCAUUGGAAAAACGACCGGUAGGGCCACCAUUGAAAUCAAUGCCAUAGGGAAAAUAGUUAGCCUUUUGCAAAUGAUGGGAUGUUGUUGUUGCCAUUGUCAAUCAAAGAGUCCCCAAACACAAACAUGGCAGGCACCAUUUCUGCCCUCCUCCCACCACCACCCACUUGACCUUGUGCUGCUGCUGCUGCUGCAGCCGCUGAUGAAAAGUUCACAUCUUGGCCCCAAAACACCCCACCCAGCACCAUCAACCACAAAACCACCAAAGAAAAAACCCUAAUUGGGGCCUUCCUCAUGAAUGAAUUAAUAUGUUUUGCUUGUUUUGAGAUGAUGAAAAUUUGGGAGAAAGUGGGAGAGCCACCUGUGUUGAAAAUGAAUGAGCUUUUUGAGUAUUGGCAAGAGCAUGCAAGGGAUGAUUUAAUAGGCGAGGCAAGGCGGUGGUUGUGAAUGGAAUAAAUGUUUUCGCCUGUUAUCUUACGUGCAGGAAUUGAAGUAAAAGCCCAUUUUUGUUCAAGGAUAAAUAAGAGUUUACUUUCCCAGCAUUGUGCUGCAUGCAGGUUCAAAUUCCCUUGUAUUUUUUCUUUUUUUUCUUUUUUUAAUUUUGGUCUUUGGUUAUUAACGGGGCCCUAGGCCCAAGCAAAACCAAUAGGCACAUGAGACCAAAGUUCAAGGUAGUUUGCUUUUAUCACCUUGCUAACUUGGGGUAUGAGUUACUCUUGGGGCUUCAUAACUAUGAGUCUGCUCCUAUAUCCCUCUCAACCUUGUUGUUGGAAGAGCCCAUAGUAGGGCUGUGCCUUGUUAGCUUUCUUUUUUCUUUUCUGGCUUCGGCCUGCCUUGUAACUGAAAAAAAAAAAAAAAAGGUAGUUUGCUUUUAUCACAUGUUAAUAGUUAUUACAAUGCUUCUUUCAAAUAAAAAAAAUUGUUAGUAAUUAUGAUGCUGCGAAAGGCCCCAAGUGAAACCCCCUCCCCUAAUUUUGACUAUCACUUAUAAUUUAAAAAAUAUAAAAAAAUAAUUAUUUCGUUGCUAUCUCUAGUCUUUUGGUAAGAGCAUUCACAAUGCACUUCCUAACCCACUUCAGACAAAAAAUCAAAUUAGUUUGCUUUUUUCUUUUUUGGCCAAAGGGGAGGGAAACACAUAGUUACAAUAAGUUUUUGAACUCAUAACUACUUAAGAACACACUAAAAAUUUAGUUCAAUCCAACUAACGACGCAUUAGUCAAAAUAAUUUGCUUUUACCACAUGUUAAUUAUUAUGAUGCUCUCUCUUGUCUUUUAUAUUUUGGUAAACGUGCUACAAAAAAAGUCAGCAAUAAACACCUAUUUUUGUUGUGACUAUUAACAGUAACAGUCACCAUUAUUGGUGAGUAAGCCCUAAAGUAACGUGACAGUUACGAAUUUUGACUUGGUGAUAUAUGAAUAGCGUGAUUCUUGACAAAAUUUAUUUGAUUGUCAAUUGCCUCUGAAGUGCAUGGGGUCAUAACACGUCAAAUCAACUUUAGCUUUAUAUUUUAAUAUAUCUAAGCCUUAAAUCCUUAUUUUAACAGCUUCGAGACAGACCUUAAGCCUUAUUGCGAGAAUGGGCGGUUAUUAUUAUGAGUUGUAAUAUUUUAUUGUGUACUGGAACUUACAAGUACAUUGGAAGUUUGAAAGAGUGUAAUAUUUUAUUGCGUAGAAGCUUGAAAGAGUGUAAUAUUUUAUUGUGUACUGGAACUUACAAGUACAUUGGAAGCUUGAAAGAGUGUAAUAUUUUAUUGAUUUGAGUUCUAGUUAGCUUUGUUUUUAUUAUAUUUAAUUCAACAGUCACCAAAGGAUACGUAGUGACGACGUAAGUUCAAGGCAGGGAGAAUUAUGUAAAGACACCUAGACCUAGCUGCCAACAAGCCCUUUUAUUAAUGUUCUUGUUUUGGAUUUCAACCUUUCAAUACAAUCUAAUACAUUUCUAUCAACAGUGAGCUUUAGGACAUGUAAUUUCAAUCAACAGUGAGCUUUGAUUUUCUAAUUUCCUUCUAGUGUUGUUGUUAAGAUUUGAUUUGAUUUGAUAUCAAGAAUCUUUCUUACAAUCUUUUUCUUUAAUAAAAUAGAAUGAUAAUCAUUGUAUAUUACACUCAGUUUUACCAGAUGAAAGCAUAUUGUUUACAAACUGAGAAUACAUAAAUUUGAUGUGUUACAUUAUUCACACUCAAACAAAUUACGUAUACGUAAAAUCAAAACGGAUGGAGCCAAAUGGUGAAGUAGAUAGGAAGCACCCAAAUUUAAUUGCUAGAAAUAUAUGGAAGGUUCAAUAAUUUCUAAUGGAUGCUAUUUUUUUUUUUGUUGAAAAUAAGUGACAACAUAUUAUUGAUGAACAAACAAAAGUACAAAGCAACGAUGUGACGAAUAUUGGCAAAUCUUCUUCAGUGACCAAAUAGCUAAACAAAGGACAAAGACAUUUACUUAAAUGUUGAAAAUGAAAAUAAGAUAAUCUGAACACUUAAAGUGCACCACCACCAACUGAGCAAAUGGACAAUUUGAAGCACCUAUAAUGGUGUUUCCAACAAAGAGAGGGGCAGCUGCACCUCCUUACGCCUUAAUAGGUCCGCCACUUAUCCCAGAAUAUGAAACACAAUAAGAUGGACAAGAAGAUGCACGCUUGGUAUUUUCCUUCAUUUUUUUAUUCACCAAGUGCAAAGUGCAAAUUCAUAACUUAUGCAAUGCUAUUAACAAAGUUAACCAAGUUUCUAGUGGAUGAACCAGACUCACUCCAAGCAGCCAAAGCCAUCUCUCCCAUUUUCCUGCUCCUUUCUCUAAGUUCUUUCCCUUUUUCCGACUCCAUCAACUCCCUAACGCUUUUCUCCAAUUCAUCCCCAAACACAAACCCAUCUUCCUCUCUCUGCUUCACAGCAAUUGCCAUUUCCAUGUCCUUCACCAAAACACUCCUAUUCACAUGUUGCUCUGCAUAGAGCGGCCAUGCCACCAUCGGCACGCCAGCAAUCACCGCUUCAAGCACCGAGUUCCACCCACAAUGCGUCACGAACCCGCCCACCGAUUCUUUCUUCAACACUGCCACCUGCGGCGCCCAUGACUUCACCACUAAGCCCUUAUCUUUGGUCCUCUCCAGGAACCCUUCUGGCAACAAACCCUCCAAAUCAAAGUCAUGUACUCCAAGAACCUGCUUGGUUUUCUCAUCAAGGGGAGGCUUCUUCACCACCCACAAAAACCUAUGUCCACUCUUCUCCAACCCAUACGCUAUCUCCUUCAAUUGAGCCCCUGAGAAUGAUCCUCUGCUUCCAAAACAAAGAAACACCACACUUCUACUGGGCUGCUGAUCAAGCCAUGACAAACAUUCUUCUGCCUCUUCAGAAUCCUUAGAUUCUUCUUCUUCAGCAAUCAACGGCCCGAUGUAGUAGACAGGGGGAGUGGGAGCAUCAGGAACACAAAGACCUUCAGCAAUGGCUUUGAGGAUUGCAGGAGGCUCGAGCUCUUCAAACGUGUUGGCUAUGAUCCCAUUAGAUUUGGGAAGGUGGGAGCAGAAGUAGACCAUGUCCCAAUACGAAGGGUCGUCUCGGUCAAGCAUUGCCUCAGGCAUGUAUGUGGCAUUCAGGGGAGACUUCAAACCGGGAAACGUCAAAACAGUCUCAGUCAGAUCCUUGAAGCUCUUGGUGGUUUGUUCCCCGAUUUUCGGGAAAUACAGAAAAACUGAAAGAGCUGCAGCUCCAGAGGUGUAAAAGUAGUAGGUGGGUAUGCCGAGUUCAUUUGCCAUUGGCAAAGCAGAGGAGCAGAAGAUGUCGAUGAUAAAAGCGUGAAUGGCUACAGAUUUAGAAAUUUCUUGGAGGGCAAGGCAGACAUGAGGAUCAUUCCGGCGAAUGAAAUCGAAC
rnacentral:lncRNA from 1 species